rnacentral:rRNA from 1 species
GAUGAACGCUGGCGGCGUGCCUAAUACAUGCAAGUCGAGCGAACAGACGAGGAGCUUGCUCCUCUGACGUUAGCGGCGGACGGGUGAGUAACACGUGGAUAACCUACCUAUAAGACUGGGAUAACUUCGGGAAACCGGAGCUAAUACCGGAUAAUAUAUUGAACCGCAUGGUUCAAUAGUGAAAGACGGUUUUGCUGUCACUUAUAGAUGGAUCCGCGCCGCAUUAGCUAGUUGGUAAGGUAACGGCUUACCAAGGCAACGAUGCGUAGCCGACCUGAGAGGGUGAUCGGCCACACUGGAACUGAGACACGGUCCAGACUCCGACGGGAGGCAGCAGUAGGGAAUCUUACGCAAUGGGCGAAAGCCUGACGGAGCAACGCCGCGUGAGUGAUGAAGGUCUUCGGAUCGUAAAACUCUGUUAUGAGGGAAGAACAAAUGUGUAAGUAACUAUGCACGUCUUGACGGUACCUAAGCAGAAAGCCACGGCUAACUACGU